GACGGAUGAAUAAUUCUGUUUAUUACAAAAGACUGAAGAUAUAACUACCGCCAUCCUUUAAUUUAUUUAUUUAUACUUUGAGGACACUUUAUAAAACCUAUAGAGAUACCUGUCCAACGAACAACCUUCACAACAGGACGGAGCUGGCUUAAUGUUGCUUUGAAAUUCAAAAAGUAACGGUCACCUAAAUCAAAAGACGGGAACCCCAUUUUCUGAUUCGAAAUCUACAUACUCUACUGGCCCGGGCUCCAAUCUUACAGCCUGAGGGGAGGAAUAAACAAGAGUCUCCGGGAGAGACAGCCAGAGGUGGGAGGGGGAGAGCUGUACAGAGAUGGGGGUGGGAAGAAUGCAAGAAGAGCUCAUUUUUGUUGCUGAAACCUGAGCGUGCUGAGCCCUUGACUGAGAUUUCAGAGCGAAUAGGAAAGGCACUGUACAGGCAAGGGCCAUAUUUUGAAUAAUGCUCUGUAAGUGAUAUAUUUUCAAAGCGCUGCGUGAUAUCUGCCCAUAUGGUUAGGGUUUGUGCUGCUUUUGAUGUACAUGAGUGUAGACAAAGAUGAAA